GAUCAUGGCUCAGUAUGAACGCUGGCGGCGUGCUUAACACAUGCAAGUCGAGCGAAGCACUUAGGAAAGAUUCUUCGGAUGAUUUCCUAUUUGACUGAGCGGCGGACGGGUGAGUAACGCGUGGGUAACCUGCCUCAUACAGGGGGAUAACAGUUAGAAAUGACUGCUAAUACCGCAUAAGACCACAGCACUGCAUGGUGCAGGGGUAAAAACUCCGGUGGU
rnacentral:rRNA from 1 species